GAAUGAGCAGCAGCCCGGCUCUACCCUUCUCCCAGAAGGACAGCCUCAGAAGUCCCCAGGGGAGGCUCUGAACACCCCAUGUUUGCCUGCCCAGGAGAAGAAAGGAUGGAAGAGGGGAAGGACUUCCAGAAGGGCACUGAAAGUCCCGUGGACCCCGGGCAGUGUCUCCAAUGGCUACAGGAGGUGAAAAAGACUUGGAUAUGUUUACAGAGGAUAGGACAACUCACCACUACAGGCUGCCACCAGUCAAGAUCAGCUGGAAAGAUAUAUACAAUAAAAACCCUCCCCGGUCCUAUCCAACUCUAACCAGAGAACAAGCCUGAAGCCUGCUCUGUCUUUGCUAAAAAGAUAAUUGAGCAUUAGAGAGGUGUUACAGACGGGCUGGGAGCCCCCAAAGGCCAUAGGACAAGAUCAAACGAUCUAACAGGUGUGAAAUUGGAAUCCCAGAAGGACGAGCAAAAGCGGGCACGAGAAUAUUUUGAGAGAGAACGGCCAAUAAUUUUCCAAAAUUAAGGACACCGAAUCACAGUUCCAAGAAGCUCGGAAAAUACCAAAUGGAAUACAUAUUCCCCCAAACACGUACCCAGACAUAUCAUACUCAAAACGCAGAAAUUUAG